rnacentral:rRNA from 1 species
CCGCGUGCAGGAUGAAGGCCCUCGGGUUGUAAACUGCUUUUGUACAGAACGAAAAGGUUUCUAUUAAUACUAGGGGCUCAUGACGGUACUGUAAGAAUAAGCACCGGCUAACUACGUGCCAGCAGCCGCGGUAAUACGUAGGGUGCAAGCGUUAAUCGGAAUUACUGGGCGUAAAGCGUGCGCAGGCGGUUAUUUAAGUUAGAUGUUAAAUCCCCGGGCUCAACCUGUGAAUUGCAUUUGAGACUGCUUGACUAGAGUACGGUAGAGGGGAAUGGAAUUUCUCGCGUAGCAGUGAAAUGCGUAUAUAUGCGGAGGAACACCCAUGGCGAAGGCAACCCCCUGGACCUGAAGGGACGCCCAUGAACCAAACCCUGGGGAGCAAACAGGAUUAAAUACCCUGGUAGU